ACGGAGGAUGCGAGCGUUAUCCGGAUUUAUUGGGUUUAAAGGGUGCGUAGGCGGAUUAAUAAGUCAGUGGUGAAAACCUUCAGCUUAACUGGAGAACGGCCAUUGAUACUGUUAGUCUUGAGUACGGUCGAGGGAGGCGGAAUGUGUGAUGUAGCGGUGAAAUGCUUAGAUAUUGGGCGGAACACCGGUUGCGAAGGCGGCCUACUGGGCCGUUCCUGACGCUGAGGCGCGAAAGCUUGGGGAGCGAACGG
rnacentral:rRNA from 1 species